UCCUCGACCUUGCAAAUGACGGCGGGCUGUAAAGUAUGUCUGAUAUAACAUCUCUGCCGGCAUUCUGGAUCAAAGUCAAGGCUAAAUAUCCUGAGAUAGCCUCGAAAGAACUGAAAAUGUUGCUUCUAUUUCCAACAUAUCGCUGCAAUGAAUGCGACGAAAACUAAACUGCGGAAUAGACUGGACAUAAGGAACCCCGUUCGAGUAUCGCUGUCUCCCGUCACCCCUCGAUAGGACCGUGUUGUUGCAGGAAAACAAGCCCAGGGCUCCCACUGAUUCAGCGAUAUUGUGAAUCUUGGUCACCACAUCGUAGGAAGGCUACGGUUUGUGCUGGAGAGGAGAUUCACAAGGAUGCUGCCUGGAUGGAACAGUUUGGUUCCAAGGAGAGUCUGGAGCAGUGGGUCCCUUCUCCCUGGAGCACAGGAGGAUAAUAAAGGAUGUACCUGUGGCAUGUACUGUAUACAAUUUUGAAGUGUACAGGGUUGGCUGAAGGGAACUGCUCCUCACAUCAAAGCUAUUUCAGGGGAUGUAGCAAGCAAAUGACGGAUGGAUCUCCAAUCAAAUUGUAGCUGCCUCAGUCAAUCACCAUCUUAGAAUGCUGGCUCUCCUAUUUUUACCACAUACGAGCCCAAUGUGGCUUGUUGGUGGUUGUAUUUCACUGUUACGAA